UACGUAGGGUGCAAGCGUUAAUCGGAAUUACUGGGCGUAAAGCGUGCGCAGGCGGUUUUGUAAGUUUGUCGUGAAAGCCCCGGGCUCAACCUGGGAAUUGCGAUGAAGACUGCAAGGCUUGAAUCUGGCAGAGGGGGGUAGAAUUCCGACGUGUAGCAGUGAAAUGCGUAGAGAUGUGGAGGAACACCGAUGGCGGAAGGCAGCCCCCUGGGUCAAGAUUGACGCUCAUGCACGAAAGCGUGGGGAGCAAAC
rnacentral:rRNA from 1 species